rnacentral:rRNA from 1 species
CACGUAGGGGCCAAGCGUUGUCCGGAUUUAUUGGGCGUAAAGAGCUCGUAGGCGGUUGGGUAAGUCGGGUGUGAAAACCUGCAGCUUAACUGUGGGCGUGCGGUCGAUACGGGCAUCACUGGAGUUCGGCAGGGGAGACUGGAAUUCCUGGUGUAGCGGUGAAAUGCGCAGAUAUCAGGAGGAACACCGGUGGCGAAGGCGGGUCUCUGGGCCGAUACUGACGCUGAGGAGCGAAAGCGUGGGGAGCGAACAGG